UCAAUGGGCCACCCCAAUUCAAUCUGGUCUAGCGGGAAGCUCCAUGUUCAUAUGAUUCAUAACUUUAUAUUCACUUGUAAGAAUCAACGCGGCAACCGUGACGAUUCAAUUCCUCUUCACUUGUUAUCGUUAAUCAUCAACUUCUGAUUUCUGGGCAAAGGAAUUUCACGAGCCUCACCACAGACCGCACUCUGAUGAGAAACGACAUUUCGCGAUUCGCAAGGAAUAAAGUCGAGAAGAAAAUGGUCCUGGAGUAUAUAAAGAAGGGAUGGGGUUUUAGCGGCUGCCUUUCUAUUUAUUUACACAUUUGCUUCUGAAUGAAUAAUUGGAGUAAUCGAUUUCUUUUUAUGAACUGAAUAUUCCAAUUCUCGAAUGAUUUUCCCUACUCUUUGAUUAAGAUAUGAGCCCCCAAAGUAAAGAUGAAAAUCUAAGAGAAAAAGGACAAAAACCAAAAGGAAGAAAAGAAUAAUACCCUUUAAGUCCCCCUUUAUGCUAUUGAUUGGGUAUCUUUCACUUUUUUAAUCCAAAGGAUAAACCAUUUUAAAAAAAAAAUUAUGAGGAGAUGCUUUAUGUGGGGAAAUGUAGAUUAAUUGUUCUGUUCUUUGCCAUAGAAAGUGAUUGUUUUAUUACUUUUGUUUGAUUAUCCAUCCAAUAGUGCGAUAUUUUUGCUGGUUGGAAAGAAAGUUUAAACAAUGAUGGAUAUAGGUGGAAUCCCUGGUUCUGCAUAAAGGUGAAUUGAAGGUUUUGGAUUCUUUCUGUGCGCUUUUUUUUACAUAUUAAACGUUAUUCCUUUUAUGCAUAAAAGCUCUCGUAGAUAACUCAGAGUAGUCAGCAAGUGUCUUCUUCUCAGAGGAGAACCUUUUGUGUUUUAUCUAAUUAUUUGACAUUUGGCAGAAAAAAUUGUGAGAUUUACGAUUUAUUUUUCUUAAACUCCUAGCAUUGAGUCUCUCCUGUGAAAAGACUUGUCCAACAAAUUGACAAACGCCAGUUUCUUUUAUGGUAUUUAAGUUUAUUGGAUGCUGUGUUUUAGGAACUCCUUGGUUGUUCGAUUCUGUCUCAGCAAAUAGAAAUGGGUAUCUUUUUACUUAAAACUUAAGAUCGGAUGACCCAUAUCACUAAUUAAAUUACUCUGCUUCUACUCAGGUUCUGAUUUUAGAAGAUAAAGACCUUAGGAGACGUCUACUGCUUGGUACUUUCAUUGAUACUGAUAUCAAAGAUUUGGAGAAUGAUGGAGCUAAGUGAUUCUGGUAGUUUUCAUUAUAUUAUAUAUAUAUAUAGAAAUACCUUGCCAAUGAUAUGAUAUUUUAAAGUAAAGUUCUGAUAUGGUAUUCUUUUUGUUCACGGAUUACCUUGAGCCACCUUUGCACUAAAAUCUGUGAAAGAAAAAAAAGAGAAUAAGACUUCUUUGGGAGAUAUUCAAAAUAGUUUUAUAUACUUGCUUUUGAAAUUGUUAUAAAAUUUAUACUAGAGUGUUUGGUAAAAGAAACCAUGUUCUGAUUUUAUGGAAAAUAAAUCUUUCCAAGCAAUGAAAAUGAAGUAUGGAAACUGAGGGAAAACAAAAACUUAAAGACUAAUUAUUCAAAA